rnacentral:misc_RNA from 1 species
CACAAUGAUAAUGCAAUUAGAAUUGCUCAAGAAUAUGCAGAAAGAAAGAUAGCUGAGCUUAAAUCAAAGCUUUGAGUAAGCAAUCAAACUAGUUUACAAGGAAGAUGUGCCUAUUUGCACAAAGCACCAGGUCCUCCAUGUAUAUGCCCAGACAUUUCAACAACUGAAAAGCUGAGUGUUUGGGUUUCGUUCUGGUGCAGCUUAUGUAUAGUAAAAUUUCACUCCUGUUCUUUGUUUUUCUUACAUUGAACAGCCAUAUUUAGUUAUCAAUGGCUUCACGGUUUAUUGUAUUUGUUAAUUUCAUAGAGAAUCGCUCAUGUUUAG